rnacentral:lncRNA from 1 species
CUCUAGAGGGCCCUCCCAACCCCUACAGCUCUGUGAUUCUGUGAAAAUUAAGGAUGGCUACUCCUAGUCUAGCACUAAGGCAGACAAACUACCUAAGCAAGAAUGAAAACAGGCUACUUUUCAGACAUGGUGCUGCAUUUGACAACUCUCAGCCUCUGUAAGAUGUGUGUUGUUUUUUUAAGGCAAUCUGUUCCUACCCUUAAUUAGGUAAGUGGCAUAUCCUAUUCUACAUUGGUUAUUCAUAUCUGAUACACAUAUUUAAAUUUAGCAGUAUGUCAAGUAGGGGCUAGACACCUGUAAUAAGAGACAGUAGAGAAAUAUAAAGUGAACCAAAGCUUCAGACUCUUACAUCUGCUUCUAACAGGCUGUCCUGCAAAACAGAGGCGUCCUAGAUUGUGCUGCUGAACAGUUUAAAGAAUCAGUGCAAGCUUCUUGCUUAAUUCUGUUUAGCUGAAGCCAUGGACACAUGUCCUCCCACAACCACAGAUGUGUUUGCUAAUGAAGCACUGUAAGCUCUAUUUUGAUGAGUAGCUUAGCCAAGUUUCCCUGCUCCUGAUUGCCAUCAUAGCAGAUAUAAUGGGUCCUGUGAGCACUCUCUAAUAUCUGUUUUUGAAGAUGUGCUGGUUAGUUUAAUGCAUGGAGUUGCAUUGGAGAGAUCAGGUUGGGAGUUAAGAUUUUUCACCAGACGGUGGUGAGGCCCUGGAACAGCCUGCCCUGGUCAGUUGGCACAGCCUUAAGCUGCCGGAGUUGGAGGAAUGUUUGGUUGCUGUUCUCAAACAUCUAGUUAGAUAUUUGAGUAUUUCUAUGUACAGCCAAGAGUUGUAGUUGAUGAUUCCUAUAUGAGUUCCUUCCAACUUGAAAUGUUCUAUUAUUCUGUGAUUCUAAAUAGUUGAAUGAGAAAGUUGUGCUAAUAUUGGCUAAUUUUCAUCUGUCUGAUAAGCAGAAGAAAGGGAGAGGGAAAUUCCUCAGGUUAUUUCAGGAGUGUACAAUUACAGUAAAGUAUAUUGAGUUCCAACAAGAACUACUCCUUGAGAUUGUAAGUGGCAAUAAUAUCAUAUAUUCUACAUGACAAGAUUAAAGUACUCCCUGCGCACAGCUGUCAUCACUCAGCUUUCCUAUACUGUUCUCUUCUCUACCAGUUCGAUUUGUAAUGGCUGAAAAGCUUUUGAGGAUAGCAAACACAAUUCUGGAGCCAAAAGGUAGAAGGAAAUAAAGAUAGAAGAGGUGAAAUGAUCA